ACGAACGCUGGCGGCGCGCCUAACACAUGCAAGUCGAACGGAGCUGAGAGGAGCUUGCUUUUCUUAGCUUAGUGGCGAACGGGUGAGUAACGCGUGAGUAACCUGCCCUGGAGUGGGGGACAACAGUUGGAAACGACUGCUAAUACCGCAUAAGCCCACGGCCCGGCAUCGGGCUGCGGGAAAAGGAUUUAUUCGCUUCAGGAUGGACUCGCGUCCAAUUAGCUAGUUGGUGAGGUAACGGCCCACCAAGGCGACGAUUGGUAGCCGGACUGAGAGGUUGAACGGCCACAUUGGGACUGAGACACGGCCCAGACUCCUACGGGAGGCAGCAGUGGGGGAUAUUGCACAAUGGGGGAAACCCUGAUGCAGCGACGCCGCGUGGAGGAAGAAGGUUUUCGGAUUGUAAACUCCUGUCGUUAGGGACGAUAAUGACGGUACCUAACAAGAAAGCACCGGCUAACUACGUGCCAGCAGCCGCGGUAAAACGUAGGGUGCAAGCGUUGUCCGGAAUUACUGGGUGUAAAGGGAGCGCAGGCGGACCGGCAAGUUGGAAGUGAAAACUAUGGGCUCAACCCAUAAAUUGCUUUCAAAACUGCUGGCCUUGAGUAGUGCAGAGGUAGGUGGAAUUCCCGGUGUAGCGGUGGAAUGCGUAGAUAUCGGGAGGAACACCAGUGGCGAAGGCGACCUACUGGGCACCAACUGACGCUGAGGCUCGAAAGCAUGGGUAGCAAACAGGAUUAGAUACCCUGGUAGUCCAUGCCGUAAACGAUGAUUACUAGGUGUUGGAGGAUUGACCCCUUCAGUGCCGCAGUUAACACAAUAAGUAAUCCACCUGGGGAGUACGACCGCAAGGUUGAAACUCAAAGGAAUUGACGGGGGCCCGCACAAGCAGUGGAGUAUGUGGUUUAAUUCGAAGCAACGCGAAGAACCUUACCAGGCCUUGACAUCCCGAUGACCGGUCUAGAGAUAGACCUUCUCUUCGGAGCAUCGGAGACAGGUGGUGCAUGGUUGUCGUCAGCUCGUGUCGUGAGAUGUUGGGUUAAGUCCCGCAACGAGCGCAACCCUUAUUGCCAGUUACUACGCAAGAGGACUCUGGCCAGACUGCCGUAGAUAAUACGGAGGAAGGUGGGGAUGACGUCAAAUCAUCAUGCCCCUUAUGACCUGGGCUACACACGUACUACAAUGGUCAUUAACAGAGGGAAGCGAAACCGCGAGGUAGAGCAAAACCCUAAAAAUGGUCUCAGUUCAGAUUGCAGGCUGCAACUCGCCUGCAUGAAGUCGGAAUUGCUAGUAAUCGCGGAUCAGCAUGCCGCGGUGAAUACGUUCCCGGGCCUUGUACACACCGCCCGUCACACCAUGAGAGUUGGGGAUACCCGAAGCCUGUGAGCCAACAGUUAAAUGAGGCAGCAGUCGAAGGUAGAAUCAAUGAUUGGGGUG
rnacentral:rRNA from 1 species